GAUGAACGCUGGCGGCGUGCCUAAUACAUGCAAGUCGAGCGAAUGGAUUGAGAGCUUGCUCUUAUGAAGUUAGCGGCGGACGGGUGAGUAACACGUGGGUAACCUGCCCAUAAGACUGGGAUAACUCCGGGAAACCGGGGCUAAUACCGGAUAACAUUUUGAACCGCAUGGUUCGAAAUUGAAAGGCGGCUUCGGCUGUCACUUAUGGAUGGACCCGCGUCGCAUUAGCUAGUUGGUGAGGUAACGGCUCACCAAGGCAACGAUGCGUAGCCGACCUGAGAGGGUGAUCGUCCACACUGGGACUGAGACACGGCCAAGACUCCUACGGGAGGCAGCAGUAGGGAAUCUUCCGCAAUGGACGAAAGUCUGACGGAGCAACGCCGCGUGAGUGAUGAAGGCUUUCGGGUCGUAAAACUCUGUUGUUAGGGAAGAACAAGUGCUAGUUGAAUAAGCUGGCACCUUGACGGUACCUAACCAGAAAGCCACGGCUAACUACGUGCCAGCCGCCGCAGUAA
rnacentral:rRNA from 1 species